CACCUCAGUAUAUUCCAGUUGCAGAGAAACUCCAAAAAUAAAAGAUAUAAACAGAAUCUCAUACUCAUGCGCCAUAGCCCAACCCUAACAAACGUAGCCCCUGCUACGGUAUGAGCGGAAACAAGGAAGGCCAGGGGGGUGCACCUGGUCUAUAUAAGACCGGCGGUGCACGCCUCCCUGAUGGGGUAUACCAUACCAGAUCGAGCCAGUAGGAUACGCUGGCAGAUCUGGCCGGACAGCCGCCUAGAUGGGUUUGAUCUCUCUCCCCUCUCCCUCUCUCUUCGUGUCGAUCGUCUGCUGUGUUCGAUGGGACUGGUCGGGGUUACGGUUGUUUUGAUGGAGGUGUCAAUGGCUGACAGAAGAGAGUGAGCACACAGCGGCAGACUACGUCUGAUAAAGGCGAUGGAUCGAUGCAAAGAGAAGAGAAAGACGCAGCUGCUGUUGCGUGCUCACCUCUCUCUCUGUCAGCUCUCUCUCCCCCUUGGGACUUGUUCCGCCAUCAACCUCCCCUUGCCGUUCCCAUCGCUUCGCCGCUGCGACGCGCGGCCAUCUUUGUUUGCAUUGACUGCCGAGAAGAGGCAGGUGUCCCCACCUGAACCCUAUCUUGCUCGGAUUCCUUGGGCUUUGGAAUAAGGUACGCUGCGCGCAUGCACGCCAUGAAUUCUUGCGCCGGCCGCCACCAAUUCCUGUAGGAGUAUGUCUUUUCUUCCCAGCCGUCUUUGCUUCUUCCAAAGGAGUAGCUCUACCCCCUUGGGGCAAGGGGACGCGUGUUGAUUUGAUUAACCAUGGUGUUAUUGUUUGCUCGUCUCCCCAUGUCUGCUUAACGGAAAGCACUGUUUGACUAGUCGUCCUUGCUAUGCCCUUCUCCUUCCUCUCCUCGUCUUCCUCCUCCAGCUUUCUCUUUCUCCCUUUUAACUUUGAUGGAAGCGAUUUCUUCCUACGAAGCUCACGAAUAUUUUACAAGUUUUCUCCUCCUUUUGCUUCCUCAUCUUAUGUGGUGCUGUGAGUUAGGCAGGAAGGAGGAGGCUACGGUGGCGGCGGGAGGCAGAUCUACGAUUCUUCGAUUGCGCUUAAGUGGAAAAGGGCACCUAGCUACUGGCCGGCGAGACGGAGCCUUCCAGAUCCGUGGCAGCGUUCCAGUUUCCGGAAAACAAAAUCUUCCCUUAGUCGAGGAGAUGGAGCCAGCAGCUUUGCUUCUGCGUGUGUAAUUCAUUGGUACCCAAAAGAAGUUAAAUCUACAUUGAAAUCCAAUUGGUGGAUCAUAUAGUUUGUUUAGUAAGUCGAAAACAGCAUUAUUUAGUUGAAUACCUGGUUGAAUAAGUUGCUUUUCAGCACCUUAGCGAAAUACUUCAUGCCUUUGAAUUUCUUGAUAUGUUUUCAUACAGAUUUUAGGUAGCUACAUCCUGUUGGUUUUAGUGGCAUAUAUUUUCUGAGUAACAUACGUGAGUCUUUCUACUGUUGCAUGCUAUAUAAGAAAGUGGAUGAAAAGAAGUUAAAUCUACAUUGAAAUCCAAUUGGUGGAUCAUAUAGUUUGUUUACAAAGGGGAAAAUUGCAUUAUUCAAUUAGUUACCUAGUUGACUUAAGUUACUUUUCAGCACCUUAGCGAAAUGCAUCAUGCCAUUGAAUUUCUUUAUAUGUGUUUUUUGUAGCUACAUCCUCUUGGUUAUAGUAGUAUAUAUUUUCUGUGUAAAUUGCGUGAGUCUUUCUACUUUUGCAUGCUACCUCAGAAAUUGGAUGAUAUAUUAUUGAUUUAAUUUUUGCCUUAGAAAUCAAUAAAAAAAUAGAGAAUCUUCUAUUUUGGAGCAAUAUUUGUUUAUCUUGAAACCUAGUAAAGAGACAUAGGGAGGUUGGGCACUCUUCUUUCAUGCUUUGGUGAGUUGUAUUAGAUCUUCCCAAAUGUGUGUUUGUAAACAUGAUUGGUUGGGAAAGAUUCACUGUCAUGUCUAGGAGUAAAAUGUUACCAACGAACUUCAUUACCAACGAACUUCAUUAUGGAGAAUCCAAGAGUUAAUAUCACAGUAAAUAAAAUAUAUUGACGGAAUAUUUCGAUAAUUUACCAGCACAACUCCUUUAAUAAUCGUAAUUCCAUGAUAGGCAAGUUCUAAAUCUGUUUCUUCUUCAUAUCAGUUAGGUAGAUUUAAACACAAGAUUGUAUUUACACCCUGAUUGGUUGUUGGAAAUGGGAUUGGAAUCCACAAAUUCGUAUUGCUCAUACAUUAACUAUUAUAUGCUUUUUGGAUGCACACUAAUUAGAAGUUGGAUUUGGGGGAUCAAUUCACCCGCAUAGGAACAUAACUACAAAUCGGAUCCUCCAAUUAAUACCAAGUGCUAUAUAAGUAUAUGACUAUAAAAUCAGUGUAUUUAUAAGUGAAAUAAUAAUAUUUUGCAAGGAAAAUAGAAUGAUACCUAUUAUACAAGAUUUUUAAUAUAAUUAUAUAGAUAUUACUGAUCAAAGUCAUGCUUCAAAGGAGGUGCCUCCGAGCAGGCCUACACCGUUUGAGGAUGGCUUCGUUGCUUGUCAUGGUUCCCCUUCUCUUCGGUUGGAAGAUUGCACGCUUUCAUACUUCCUCGUCCAUAUCUUCAGUUUGUUUAUCUGUCGUGAUGUUGUUGUCAGCCAAAUUAUCUAUUGUUGCAAGAGGAUGUAAGUCAAGAUUAUCUAUAGCUCCAUAAUAUAAGGCGAAAAGUUGGAACAGAGAGACUACACACUACAAGCAUGAUCAAGGAAAAAAGUUUAUUGCAAACGCAUUGGAAACUUGUGCUUCUCAUAUGCAUUUCUGCCGUGGCCCAGUGUCAAUUUUUCAUCGUAAUUAGCUACUCUGUGUACAUUUUAGAAGCUUAGAAACCAUGACACUCCUUAUUUCUGUGGUUAUCACAGCCUAAAUGGAAUGCUCUUUUGUAACCUGCAACGUCCUAACGGUCUAGUUGUGCUAUGUAAUAUUUUAUUUUACAUGGGAAGCAUGCAUCAGCCUUUACGCCAA